AAGAAGCGAGCCCAGGAUUGUAG
rnacentral:piRNA from 1 species